GCCGGGCACAGUGGUGCUUGUCCGUAAUCCAAGCUACUCAGGAGGCUGAGGCAGGAGGAUUACAAAUUCAAGGUGACCCUGGACACCUUAUGGAGACCCUACUUCAA
rnacentral:sRNA from 1 species